rnacentral:rRNA from 1 species
UAACGGGAGGCAGCAGUAGGGAAUCUUCCACAAUGGACGCAAGUCUGAUGGAGCAACGCCGCGUGAGUGAAGAAGGUUUUCGGAUCGUAAAGCUCUGUUGUUGGUGAAGAAGGACAUGGAUAGUAACUGAUCUAUGUUUGACGGUAAUCAACCAGAAAGUCACGGCUAACUACGUGCCAGCAGCCGCGGUAAUACGUAGGUGGCAAGCGUUGUCCGGAUUUAUUGGGCGUAAAGCGAACGCAGGCGGGAGAACAAGUCAGCUGUGAAAGCCCUCGGCUUAACCGAGGAACGGCAACUGAAACUGUUUUUCUUGAGUGCAGAAGAGGAGAGUGGAACUCCAUGUGUAGCGGUGAAAUGCGUAGAUAUAUGGAAGAACACCAGUGGCGAAGGCGGCUCUCUGGUCUGUAACUGACGCUGAGGUUCGAAAGCAUGGGUAGCGAACAGGAUUAGAUACCCUGGUAGUCCAUGCCGUAAACGAUGAGUGCUAAGUGUUGGGAGGUUUCCGCCUCUCAGUGCUGCAGCUAACGCAUUAAGCACUCCGCCUGGGGAGUACGACCGCAAGGUUAAAACUCNAAGGAAUUGACGGGGGCCGNCACAANCNGUG